UGGUGGGUAGUUUGACUGGGGCGGUCUCCUCCCAAAGAGUAACGGAGGAGCACGAAGGUUAGCUAAUCCUGGUCGGACAUCAGGAGGUUAGUGCAAUGGCAUAAGCUAGCUUGACUGCGAGAGUGACGGCUCGAGCAGGUGCGAAAGCAGGUCAUAGUGAUCCGGUGGUUCUGAAUGGAAGGGCCAUCGCUCAACGGAUAAAAGGUACUCCGGGGAUAACAGGCUGAUACCGCCCAAGAGUUCAUAUCGACGGCGGUGUUUGGCACCUCGAUGUCGGCUCAUCACAUCCUGGGGCUGAAGUAGGUCCCAAGGGUAUGGCUGUUCGCCAUUUAAAGUGGUACGCGAGCUGGGUUUAGAACGUCGUGAGACAGUUCGGUCCCUAUCUGCCGUGGGCGCUGGAGAAUUGAGGGGGGCUGCUCCUAGUACGAGAGGACCGG
rnacentral:rRNA from 1 species